CCCUCAUCACGUACUAUUACUCCCUUUGCCUUCUUUCUCUCUCCGCCCACUGUCCAUCCACCGCCCCUCUCUCUCUCUCUCUGUAUCGAAUGCAAAUUUCGAAUGCUGGCCGCGAAGCCUCCGCUGGCUAUUCCGACGCUGCACCGCCGUCCUCCACCACUUCCCAUAGCCAUCUCUGUAUUCUAGGGUUUUUGGCAUUCCACUUUCUCACGUGACCAUAUUUUCAAUCAGAUUCUGAAGGAGGCGGAGAAGGGAAAUUUAGGACGCGCUGUUUUGGGAAUUACAACUCCGGUGUUGAUUCUUGCCUUCUAUUGCGAUCGGAAGUUGAAGAAGGGAAAGGGGAUAGAAGGGACUGCCACAGACACACAUAUACAUAUUAGGGUUUCUGGGAGAAGAAGAAUAACGCCAUGGCUCCAGGGCGUAAACGUGGAGCUAAAGGAGUGAAGACGAUGAGUGACUUGAGUAUCGGCGAUCUCGUUCUCGCCAAGGUUAAGGGUUUCCCUGCCUGGCCUGCAAAGAUUAGUAGACCUGAGGAAUGGGAUAAACCUCCUGAUCCUAAAAAGUAUUUUGUGCAGUUCUUCGGUACAGGAGAAAUAGCUUUUGUUACCCCAGCAGAUAUUCAGGCGUUUACAAGUGAAGCGAAGAACAAGUUGUCAGCUCGAUGCCAGGGGAAAGGAUAUUUUGCGCAAGCAGUAAAGGAUAUUUGUGCUGAAUUUGAAGAGUUGCAGCAGAAAAAUUCUUGUCCUUUGGGAUAUGACAAAAAUAAUGAAGCUCCAGUCACUGAUGCUGUAGAUGGUUCAGUAAAGGUAGAACAAACAGAUAGGACUGAAUAUGGUGAAACCGAGCAAGAAAUGGAUUCUGAAAGUCUGGGUGAGGGGUCUGGUUUGGAACGCUGCUCAAAGGUUAAAACUGAGCAAGAUAAUCAAAGUUGCAAGCCACUUGUUUUAGAUUCUGCCAACGUCUCUCCAACUAUUUCAUCUAAAAAGGGAAGUAAAAUUUCCAAUAGUACUAACUCAGUGAAGGAAUUGACAUCAGCAUCUUCUCAAGGAUGCCAUUCUGUAGGUGAGGAAAGCCCUCAAAAUAAAACUAUUCAAGAUAAACUUACUUCUGGGGAUCACUCUGUGCAUCCUGGUACUGGACGUAAGCAACUAGCAAAUGGACAGAAAGUAAAAUUAUCAAAGAGGAAACUGGAGGGUGGAGAAGAAGUGCAAAAUGUUACUACCUUGGCUGGUGAUGCUUCUGCAGAGCCUAUUAUAGUUGGUUUGAAAAGUGAUGUUGUGUCUGGUGAAAGUAAAAAGAAGCCAUCCUUGGAUUUGAAGUCAGAAGCUAAUGGUAAAAAGAAAGCAAAAAAGUUGCGCAGAGAUAAAAGACAUCUUGAAAUAUCUGAUUCUGAAAAUGAAAUUGAGGAGGAUAACAAGCUUGAGAGUUCUAGCGGGAAACCCAAAAUUGAACCUGGAUGUAUACGGAAAACUUCACAUGGCACUGAAGGAGUGCAACCUUUCAAAAGGUCAAAAUGUGCAGAUGGGGCUGCUGAUGUAAACAAGGUAGUCCAAGCUAGCAGGAAUAAAGAUAGUCGGAAUUCUGGUGUUGAUGUUAAAUUGGGUAAUUCAGAGGUUAAAGGAUCAAAGCCAGUGGGGAAAGUGGAGAACCGCGCAACACUGAAAGCACAGGCAGAUGUUGCUGGUUCAAAUGUUCCAGGGGAGGAGGAUGUUCCUCCCCCAUCGAAACGCAGUCGACGUGCAUUGGAGGCUAUGCCCAGUUCCUCACCUAUUCCUCAACAGACAACAAAACGGAGAGCUGUUCGGCUUUGUGAUGAUGAUGAUAAUGAGGAGCCCAAAACUCCUGUUCAUGGGGGAUCUAUUAAAAAGGAUACUAAUCUGUCACACAUCACAGAUUCUUUGAAAAAAUCUGAUGCACCUAAUGUCACCCCUAUACCUGCUCAGCAGGGUAUGCGUGCCUCAGGAAGAGGUCAGAGUGGUUCUUCAAAGGAAUUGAAAUCAUCUAUCAAACCAAAUGAUGACACUUCUUUUCAUAAUUCUCAAAAGUUAUUAGAGAAAAGGGCCAGAAUUGUAACCACUCCGAACCUUUCCUGUAGUCCUGGGAAACCAGAACCUGAAAAAGUACCUUCAAGAGAUAUUAAACCAAUUCUUGGUUCCCCUAAGAGGUCCCCUGUGGUUGUCACAGUUCCCAGGCCGAUCUCGGAGCCCCAGAAACCAAGUAAACAAUCUGAUAAAGUAUUAGAUGAUGUUCCACAAGGUAAAGUGGUAGCUAGCUCUAUUCCAGCCCUUGUUGCUGCUUCCGAUAACCUGAAGUCUUCUCUGGAUCAACCUAAUAGUGAAAGAGGCAAGACAGAUUCUUCCGGAGAAAGGAAAAAAGCAACCCCUAAGUCAACUUCUCGGAUAAAUGAUCAUGCUUUUUCAGCAGGACAUCCAAUGGAAACCGUUUCGGUUCCUUCUGAAAGGGUGGAAGCAGGUAGAGAUGAUCGACCACUUUCUUUGACUGAUUUGAAAGUGUUGGACCCUGAUAUGUCGAUGAAGGAGCUUAUAGCAGCUGCUCAGGCUAAAAAGAGGCAAGCUCACUUACUGAAUGCUCAUGGGAAUUUACAUCCUGUUUUUGCCACCUAUGUUGAUAUUCAAGGUGGGAGUCCAAACCCUGGCCUUCCCUCUCAUGCCUCUGUUCAUGGCAAGACUCUGCAUUCUGAUGCACAAGGACUCUGUCCUCGUGCAUCUCCAUCCUCAGAGGUUCGUCAAUUUACAUCAAUUGAUCCACCUGAGUGUGAAGAACACGAAGAAAGGAGAGUGAGUUCAGAACACUGGACCACCGGUGGCUCACUUAGUGGUGGCACUGAGGCAGCUGUGGCCCGUGAUGCCUUUGAGGGAAUGAUAGAAACUUUGUCUAGGACCAAAGAGAGCAUAGGGCGUGCAACACGACUUGCAAUUGACUGUGCAAAGUAUGGGAUUGCUAAUGAGGUUGUGGAACUUCUCAUCCACAAAUUGGAAAAUGAACCUAGCUAUCAUCGCAGAGUGGAUUUAUUUUUCCUUGUGGAUUCAAUAACUCAAUGUUCUCAUAGUCAUAAAGGCAUUGCAAGUGCAUCAUAUAUUCCUGCUGUUCAAGAAGCAUUAUCACGACUUUUGGGGGCUGCUGCUCCGCAGGGAGCAGGGGCUCGAGAAAAUCGUCGACAGUGUCUUAAGGUCUUGCGAUUGUGGCUUGAGAGGAAAAUCUUACCAGAAUCUCUACUUCGUCGCCAUAUUGACGAAAUUGGUACUGCAAAUGAUGAUGUUACUGCUGGUGGGCACUCCUUUAGAAGGCCUUCUCGAGCUGAGCGUGCUUUAGAUGAUCCAAUUAGAGAAAUGGAAGGCAUGCUUGUUGAUGAGUACGGGAGUAACGCAACAUUUCAGUUACCUGGCUUUCUAUCUUCUAAUGUGUUUGAGGAGGAGGAGGAAGAGGAAGAAAUUCUAAACAAUCCUCACCAAGAAGAUAGUGAGGUAUCACCAGUGGAUGGUACUCCUGCCACAGGAGACAAUACUGAACAAUAUACAGUCACUCCAAAAGAUAGGCGCAGCCGCAUAUUGGAGGAUGUCGAUGGUGAGCUUGAAAUGGAAGAUGUGUCUGGACACCAGAAAGAUGAAAGUCCAUUGUUUACUGAUGUUCCUCACCGAAGUGCUUCAAACCAGUCUGGUUCUGAUAGAGUCCCGGAAGCUGCUUCAAACAGUCCCUUUGAAUUGCCUCCACCUGAGGGGUGGUCUCCGCCUUUGCCACUUGGUUCGCCUCCAGAGACCCCACCUUUGCCUUCUUCACCUCCUCCACCUACACCCCCGCCGCCACCUCCAUCGUCUCCUUUGCCACCUCCACCUCCAACACCACCUCCUCCUUCACUACCCCCACCACCCCCCACACAGCCACACCCCUUUCCGUCAAUGCCUGCCGGACCACCUCCCCUCUUAUUUACUCAACCUUCUUUGCCACCUCAACCCUCAAUGCCAUUGCAACAUUUGGCAGUUGCAUCAUCAAUACCAUCUUCUUCACCCAUGGUUGGAUAUCAGCAACCUCUGGCUCCACAUGAAGUUGGUAGCAUGCCAAAUGGACAUCGAUUACCCCAGAUGUCUGUAAAUGCUCCUCAUGGGCCUCCUCCACCACAACCACAACCUCGCUUUGUUCCUGUAGGUGUCUGUAACUCGCGUGAACCUUCUGGAUAUAAUUCCAGACCUUUAGAUUAUAACCAUAAUGAUGCAUAUUUAAACCUUCAGCCUCCACAAUCCAGCCAACAAUUUCAACCCACUAAUGCACCCUUUUCCCAAAUGCCUAUGCAUCCUAAUCCCCCACCUCAAAUCCCAUCCAAUAAUUUUUCAUAUCCAAGGCCAGCAGUGCAGCAACAAUCUCAGCAUCCAUAUCCACCAGGACCACCGCCGUAUGCAUUGCCAAAUCGCCCUGAUGGGCAAAGGCGAUAUGUGGGUGAUGAACAAUGGAGGGUGCAGUCAAAUGAAUUUAGUGCUGAUCAACGUGGCAUGUGGAUGGGAGGAGGAAGAUCAUCUGCUGGCCCAACCUUUCCUCCUGAAGGUUAUUUGAGACCUCAUGAUAGGCCACCUAUGAACAAUAUUGGGUUUCAGCCACCUGCACCAAAUGCUCUUCCAACUGGUGGCCCAAUUUCAGGUCAUGGGAUGCCUUGUAGGCCAGAUGUGACUGCUCUCAAUUGGAGACCAGCUUAAGAAAUCUUGAAUUCUAAUGGAUUUUGGACUUUUGGCUCUGAUGGGGAACUCAAAUAGGAGAAAGGGUUGACCUCUAAACGAAAAUCAGAUGGCAAACUGUUCUGAAGUUGAGGGUGACUUACCAAGAUUUUGUUUAUUGUAACUUUUCCUGAGAAAUGACUACAGGCAUUGGAGAAUGUUCUAACCUCAACUGCAACUGAUUUACUGGUUGGUGAUUGUCAAAUAAGAUGUAUGCCCUGGUAGAUUAUUCUGCUUCAAAAUUUUGAGGUAAUUAUGUAAUUACAGAUCCCUGAGCUGUAACAGUUCCCCACUAUUUUUUUUUUUUUUUUUUCCUUUGAUCAAAUAGUCAUAGUUUACAUGCAAACACUUUUACGGUUCAUAUGCUAGCAAUCAUAGGCAUUUAGAACUGUAGAAGGAUUCUUAGUUUAAGUGUACAGAUGAAUUUUGAUGGUGUAUUUAUCAUUGAAUUAAUUCCAGUUUUGUUCUUAUUAUUGUUCGAA